rnacentral:misc_RNA from 1 species
CAGGAUCACCAGGUAGCAUCCCUAAUUGACAUAACCCGCCCGCUGGUACGAGCCAACACGGGACAGGCAAGUCUUUCAAGGUGAUGCGCCACUCUUUGACAAACCCUCCUGAUCCCAAUGGCAAAGCCGAUUCAGCAAGACAGUAUGUCAUGUUAACUUUGACAAACCCUCCUGAUGGCAAAGCCAAAUCAGGCAAGACAGUAGGCAUUGUUAACUUUGACAAACCCUCCUGAUGGCAAGGCCAAUUCAGGCAAGACAGUAUGCUUUUAACUUUGACAAACCCUCCCUAUGGCAAAGCCGUUUCAGGCAAGACAGUAAGCAUUGUUAACUUUGACAAACCCUCCUGAUGGCAAGGCCGUUUCAGGCAAGACAGUAAGCAUUGUUAACUUUGACAAACCCUCCCGAUGGCAGGGCCAAGUCAGGCAAGACAGUAAGCAUUGUUAACUUUGACAAACCCUCCCGAUGGCAAGGCCAAACCAGGAAAGACAGCAGUCAUGUUAAGAGAGGCACAAACGCUAAAUGAGGGCAAAACAAGGAUCCCAUGAGACCCCAUGCCCACAUCGUUUUCCAUAUCCAGGAUACCAAGCAACGCUCAAUGGGCCACAACAUCAACGCAAGCAUAAUGUUGUGGAUCAAAGAGACCGCUUUGUGGUUCAUCCGAUGCCACAAAAAUGGCACGAGACGAAAUCAACUGUAAUCAACCAAGACAAUACCAAUGCUUAGGUACGCAACACAGAAACCCACAAUUUGGCCAGGCAAUAGAUGCCCAAA